rnacentral:rRNA from 1 species
GACGAACGCUGGCGGCGUGCUUAACACAUGCAAGUCGAACGGAAAGGCCCCUUUGGGGGUACUCGAGUGGCGAACGGGUGAGUAACACGUGAGUAACCUGCCCUUGACUUCGGGAUAACUUCAGGAAACUGGGGCUAAUACCGGAUAGGAAUCCUUGCUGCAUGGUGGGGGUUGGAAAGCUUCGGCGGUUUUGGAUGGACUCGGGGCUUAUCAGCUUGUUGGUGGGGUAGUGGCUUACCAAGGCUUUGACGGGUAGCCGGCCUGAGAGGGCGACCGGCCACAUUGGGACUGAGAUACGGCCCAGACUCCUACGGGAGGCAGCAGUGGGGAAUAUUGCACAAUGGGCGGAAGCCUGAUGCAGCAACGCCGCGUGCGGGAUGACGGCCUUCGGGUUGUAAACCGCUUUCAGCAGGGGCGAAGCUUGUGGUGACGGUACCUGCAGAAGAAGCACCGGCUAACUACGUG